AUCGGUUUCCAGCCAUGAUGCCCUCCCCACUUUCUCCACCUCCCACAAUUUCAGCACCAAUAACCACAGUUUACCCCUCAAUUCUAGCAGCUUUCUGCUUUUAAAGUAUUUAAACCCUCUUUCCACCCACAUGCAAUGAUGUCAAAACCUUUCAAAGUCAAUCGUCGCCUGAGUAGGUUCGAAUGUCGGAUAGAGUAAUUUCGAUGUGAUACAUUUCUCCAGCGGCGAUAAAGGAUAUGUAGAGUCUCAGGUGAUGUCGUGGUCGUCAGUUACAGUGUCGCUGAUACAGAACCGAGCUACAACCAUCGGAGAUUUCUGACCCGCUGAGGCACACUUCCCUUAACCAUUGUUCCGGUUGUUCAAGUUUUUCUUCUCCAACCGUCUACUCGACAAUCCAGGGAUGGAGACUUCUCUUCUCUGGCGCCAAAGAUAAUGUUAUGACAAUGAACAAUGGCAGACGAUUGGGCACAUACCCG